rnacentral:rRNA from 1 species
GAUGAACGCUGGCGGCAUGCCUAAUACAUGCAAGUCGAACGAGAGGAAGGAAAGCCUGCUUUUCUGAAUCUAGUGGCGAACGGGUGAGUAACACGUAGGUAACCUGCCCAUGUGCCCGGGAUAACUUCUGGAAACGGAUGCUAAAACCGGAUAGGUAGCAGACAAGCAUUUGACUGCUAUUAAAGUGGCUAAGGCCAUGAACAUGGAUGGACCUGCGGUGCAUUAGCUAGUUGGUGAGGUAACGGCCCACCAAGGCGACGAUGCAUAGCCGGCCUGAGAGGGCGGACGGCCACAUUGGGACUGAGACACGGCCCAAACUCCUACGGGAGGCAGCAGUAGGGAAUUUUCGUCAAUGGGGGAACCCUGAACGAGCAAUGCCGCGUGAGUGAGGAAGGUCUUCGGAUCGUAAAGCUCUGUUGUAAGAGAAAAACGACAUUCAUAGGGAAUGAUGAGUGAGUGAUGGUAUCUUACCAGAAAGUCACGGCUAACUACGUGCCAGCAGCCGCGGUAA